rnacentral:rRNA from 1 species
ACACAUGCAGUCGAGCGGAGAUGAGGUGCUUGCACCUUAUCUUAGCGGCGGACGGGUGAGUAAUGCUUAGGAAUCUGCCUAUUAGUGGGGGACAACAUUCCGAAAGGAAUGCUAAUACCGCAUACGUCCUACGGGAGAAAGCAGGGGAUCUUCGGACCUUGCGCUAAUAGAUGAGCCUAAGUCGGAUUAGCUAGUUGGUGGGGUAAAGGCCUACCAAGGCGACGAUCUGUAGCGGGUCUGAGAGGAUGAUCCGCCACACUGGGACUGAGACACGGCCCAGACUCCUACGGGAGGCAGCAGUGGGGAAUAUUGGACAAUGGGGGAAACCCUGAUCCAGCCAUGCCGCGUGUGUGAAGAAGGCCUUAUGGUUGUAAAGCACUUUAAGCGAGGAGGAGGCUACUGAGACUAAUACUCUUGGAUAGUGGACGUUACUCGCAGAAUAAGCACCGGCUAACUCUGUGCCAGCAGCCGCGGUAAUACAGAGGGUGCGAGCGUUAAUCGGAUUUACUGGGCGUAAAGCGUGCGUAGGCGGCUUUUUAAGUCGGAUGUGAAAUCCCCGAGCUUAACUUGGGAAUUGCAUUCGAUACUGGGAAGCUAGAGUAUGGGAGAGGAUGGUAGAAUUCCAGGUGUAGCGGUGAAAUGCGUAGAGAUCUGGAGGAAUACCGAUGGCGAAGGCAGCCAUCUGGCCUAAUACUGACGCUGAGGUACGAAAGCAUGGGGAGCAAACAGGAUUAGAUACCCUGGUAGUCCAUGCCGUAAACGAUGUCUACUAGCCGUUGGGGCCUUUGAGGCUUUAGUGGCGCAGCUAACGCGAUAAGUAGACCGCCUGGGGAGUACGUCGCAAGACUAAAACUCAAAAUGAAUUGA